rnacentral:lncRNA from 1 species
GCCUCUCCCCCUCAUCUCUCCACUCGCCCCCGUUCCGCUGUGGCCAGCUCGACGUCGAGCCGCAACUCGCCGUCACCCUCGCCCCCGUCACCUCGCUCGUCCGCGGCCUCCUCCCCAAUGGCCCCGGCGCCUCACUCUCUCUUGCCCUCGCAAACACUAGCCCCCACACGAGCUCCUCUCCUCGCGUGCACCUCCUUCCCCAUGUCCGGCCCAGCGGAACCAUGGUCGCGCCACGAUGAGCUCACGGCCACCACCGGCCUCGCUCCUCUCCAUCGAGCCCAGAAGCUCCGCGGCAUCCUCCUCGACCCCUUGGUGCACUGGAUCGAUCCGGAGCAGUGCGCUAGCAACAUCAUUGACUCGAUCUUCUUCCUCGGCCGUCGUCGCCAUUGUUGAGCUCCUACUCGCCUCCGACACCCUCGACCCUCAUUGAUCACCUCGCUGACACCGCUGUGAGCUCCCCUACCUCCCUGACCCUCUAGAGCUCCUCGUCGACCCCCGUAGCUCCCGCUUCGUUUUGCGCCACUAUCGUUGCCGCUCAGGCAUCAUCGCUGUCGUGGAUGCCGACCACUUUAGCUCACGCACUUAGCCUAGAUGGAUGCGGCUCAUCGAGCUGGUUCAAUUCAUGCACGCGGGCAUCCAUUUGGUCGCCAGAAUUAGUCCUCGGCACCUAUCGCCGCCCUUGUAGGUCGCCGUCGGCGCGGGCACUAUUAGGUCGGCCUUGUCUCGCUCACAGAUGGGCCCUGGUGGUGAGGUUAUUACUUGCUUAGGAUUAAUUAACAGUUAGCUUAGGCCCUGUUUGGAACCAUAAUAGAUUAUGAUAAUCUGAAUUGUGAACAUAGAUUAUAUAAUCUGGUUUAUAAAAAUAAUUCAGGUGGACAUGUUUGGAGGCCAGAUUAUAUAAACUGUAAACCAGCUUUUAAAUUGUACAAUGACAUGUUUGCCCUGUGUUUACAAGAAAAAAUUAAAAAAAUGGCGAUGGCACUGCAUAAUUCUUUCAAAGUUUACAAGGGUAACACAUCAUUUGUAAUCCAUAAUCUCAUUUUAGCUGGGAUAGAGCAGAUUACGAGAUUAUAAUAAUCUGAUCAUCUAGUUUAUAAAAUCUAUAAUAUAAACUGUCCUGUUUGGAAAUACAAUAGAUUAUAAAAACCAGAUUAUAUAAUCUGGGUGGUUCCAAACAGGGCCUUAGGCUAGCAGCCACUAACUACUAGACCCCCACCACUUUAAUUAACCCUGGAUUUAGAAUAGACCCCUCCCUAAUUAGUACAAAGACUGACAGGUGGGGCCUAUCCAGUGUUACGGUGGAUAAGGUCGGCCCAAUCAACGUGUUGACUCAGCAGGCUCGCGCACGAGUGAGCGUGUGUUGACUGGUCAGUUGACUAGUCAAUUGGGCCCCCUAGUCAGUCCGUGUCACCCCCUUUGGGUGUAGUGGACCAGGUGCACCCAACAAUUUAUUUUUAAUAUUUGAAUUAAAAUUAAUUCUAUAAUUUCAGGAUAUUAAUAAAACUUUGAAAAAUCAUAUGACAUAAUUUAUAACUUGGAUGAAAAUAUUUUAUAUAUGAAAGUUGCUCAGAAAAAGCCAACAAAUCUGAAUACGUUAUCUGUUCAUCUGUCACAUGCACCUAGCAUGAUGAAGAUGGAACUUUCCCCUCCGAAUCAUCUAUCCGGUAAUAGCCAAAGGCCCUGAAAAUAUCGUCAUAUAUUACCCCGCUCCGUCAGUAACGUGUAGUACUGCGUUGGGUCAUCCCUAUCACUGCAUAUUGCCAUGUCAUGCAUUGUGUUACAUUUAAUUGCUUUGUUAUUUAUUGUUUUCCCUCUGCUACUUCUUUUCGGUAGACCUCGAUACUUUGAUAGACCCCGAGACUGUUGUUGACCCCAAGUACGACUACGUCGACAAGGACCUGUCCUUUUCAGCAAAGCUUCCAUGCAAGCAACCCCCCUUGAUCAUUCCUAUAUCACCCAUUUCUUUCUUCCUCAUGCUUGCAUUAGAUUUUAUGACUGUUGUAGAUAGCUCCUAUUCUGAUGCAUAGCUUGUUUUUGAUAAACUGAUGUUAUACUCUAUUGUACAUUAAAUCCUUAGUAUAGGUGGAGCAGUGAUCCCCAUUGACCCCCUUAGUCCCAGUUGCCCUCGCUUUAUCAUCAAAGACUAGAUCAACUGAUCGACAAGCCAAGACCCGUCACAUCACUUCACACACCCCUUGUUGUACGACACUGCAGAGGUACUAUCGAGUACCGAGCGUGACACCUUGUUACGUACUUCUGAUGUUAGCUCUGUAAUGUAGUUAAUUUGCGGUGGUUUACGGAGGUGAUUCCUUCUUCACCACCCCUGAUAAUGACUCUAUCAUGCAACCCCUCAAGCAUGGACCAUCGAGGGUGAUUCCUCCCUUGUCACCUUGACGGUUACAUCGUUCGGAAUCCAUCGAGGGUGAUAUCUCGGAUCCCUCUGAUGUUAUAGCCACACGGUUACUUGACCUUACUACUGGGAACAUGAUGAAAGGUGUGUUGCGGGUGGAUUCCUUAACGAGGCGUGGCCGGGCAUUCUUGGCCCUUGCCACACAUCCUCGAGACGGGGCGACGGGACCUUAUAUCGUGAAUUGCCAAUCGUUGUCAUGGUGUUAAUUAAAAUGCUAAUUGGAUUUGGGUAUCUGAUCUUAGUUGUCCAUUGACCUUUUCGCACUAACCUUCACGUGGGAGAAGUUAUGGGUACUCGACAUCGUGUAUGAGUCAAAGCUCUUCAGACGUCAGCAAUGGAGUUGUGCGUGCCCGAGUGGUCCGCGUAAGCAUUGUUCUUGUAUAAGAGGUGCCAGGACUGACCUCGGUCGCCCACGCAGCGUGCAGGAGUGCAAAGGGUGAUGGGCCCGUGACCCGUGCAUGCUUAGGAUUUGGACUGGUGGGCUGCUCUCUCUGUUGAGCCUAGGUAGGUUAGCGACGUGUUGAUGUUCCGGGGCCGGGCAUGACCCAGGAAGUGUGUGUGGCCAGAGUUUAUCAAGCGUGUUGGCUAAUUUGGUGUACCCGUGUAGGGAUGAAAAUUAACUAUUUGAAUAGUCGUGUCCAUGAUUACACGACGACUUGGAGUUGUAUCCCGAUCUAAUAGAACUAGAACUGCGACUUAAUUGGAAUGUUUGGCUGUGAGAUUUCUUUCUCGCAGGGAGUCGAGGAACAAAAUCUGGGCGUGACAUAGUUAAAUUUGUUGCAACAACAUGACUAUAUAUGUGUUAUUGUUCUACUCUCUUCUAAUGCUGCAAGACACUCAAGAUGCUAGUCUUCGAUAUGAAUAGACCUUCUCUCUAUUCUCGCAUUUCUGCAUCCAGUCCAAAGAUAUAGCCCCAUUCCUUUCAUACUGAUGCAUACUUAGUAUAGUUCUGAUGUCAGUCUUGCGAGUACUUUCGAUGAGUACUCACCGUUUCUUUGCUCCCCUUUUUCCACUUGAUAUGAUUGUCAUGACCAGACAACAGAGCCCAGGAGAUGGUGUAUCCCGCUGACGACGACUGCUACCCCGACGGUGCCUUCUGCUACAUGGAGGUCGCUGACGACGAGGAGUAUUUAGGAGGUUCCAAGGGAGGAGGCCUCACCUUGUUCGAUCAAUGUAUCUUUUCUGCUAGCCUUCUCUAAGGCAUCAACUUGUUUCUAUGUUUGUACUCAGAUAUUUUUUGCUUCCGCUGACUCGUGUGUUUCUCGAGCUUCUGUAUUCGAGCCCUUGAGGCACCUCACUUGUAAUAUGAGCUUGUAUGCUUUUAUUUGUGUCUAGAGUUGUGUUGUAAUAUCUUCCCAUGAGUCCCUAAUCUUGGUCAUACGCAUUGUAUGUAUACUUAGUAUACAAUUAAAAUCGGGGGAGGGGGGGUCACGGUGCUAGAGCAGAAGGGGAGCAUGGAGAAAAGAUUCAUCGCCCCCUGCUCUUUAUAAGUUAGUAAAAAGGACAAAGUGCCCCCCCCCCCUCGUCGUUGUGUCGUAAAAAUUGCCACAUUUUUGUUGAUCGAGUUAUUAUGGCCGCAUUGGGUGAAGAAAUCAAUUGAUACAACACUCCAAUGAGAGGGUUACCUCGAACCAUGAGUCAAAUAAAUGAUAACUGGUAGAUUGAUGUCAUCAAUAGUGGCGCUUUAGAAAAGUUGUCAGCAAUUGUCAUCCGAACAAACUUAUGCCCUCGUCUUCAAGACUAGUCUGGCCGCGUA